rnacentral:lncRNA from 1 species
UUGUCUAUAUCCAUAUUUUCAUAGGCUUGUCUUUGUUAAUGGACUAGGGAAAAUUGACUUUUAAAUUUAUUAUUGGUCCAAUUUUAAUUUUGAAAGGAAAUAAAUAAUAAUUUAAUUUUUUUUAUAAAAUAAAACUUUUGGACCAAAAAUAAUUUAAUAUGUUAAAUUUUAUCUAUGCAUUUUAAUCCAUUAACCCCAAUUUCAAUUGGGCCUAAAAUUAUGAUUCAUUAAGCCCAAAACUAUUUUUGGACUUAAAAGCAUAAACAUAAAAAUUUUCUACCCAUAAGAAAAAUUAUGAAACUAUAAAGACCUCCAUGAUAAAAAUCAUGAAACCCUAAAAUCAUAUUUUACUUUCUUCUUCUUCCCCAGCCGCCAUCUCCACAAAACAUCAGCCAUCGUUCACCCAUCUCUAUUGCCGAUAUGACCAUCUUCGCCACACUGGGAAGCCACCAAACGAUGUCCUUCGCCAGCUGCAAACGUCCGCAAGCUUCCAACCUCCACACGCUUGUUGCAGGUAGCGUUACAGCACGCGCUGCU